UGGGGAAUAUUGCACAAUGGGCGAAAGCCUGAUGCAGCGACGCCGCGUGAGGGAUGAAGGCCUUCGGGUUGUAAACCUCUUUCAGCAGGGACGAAGCGCAAGUGACGGUACCUGCAGAAGAAGCACCGGCCAACUACGUGCCAGCAGCCGCGGUAAUACGUAGGGUGCAAGCGUUGUCCGGAAUUAUUGGGCGUAAAGAGCUCGUAGGCGGUCUGUCGCGUCAGCUGUGAAAACCUGGGGCUCAACCCCG
rnacentral:rRNA from 1 species